CUGUAUUCAUAAUGUGUUUGCAGGAGUAUCCAAAUGAAAUAUUAAUUCUCUCUUUCUCUUUUGUUCUUCUUGUCCUCAGGCUGAACUGAUAGGCAGAUGGCUACAGUCUCUACACGAUUAGUGUCUGGGAUGGAUGAGUGAAAGUGGCUUCUCUCAAACAUGUCGCAUGGAAGGAAAACCACUAACAUACAAGACGUCUCCUGGUUAUGGGUGUGUGUUGACAAGAACCGAAGGGAAAAGACAAAGAGGCCGUGAGGAAGUUGUAAAACAGCCUGACGUGAACAUUAAGUAAAACUGUAAUUAAAGAAUCCACCAGACUCCUGUCAGAGCGUGUGAUCCCGAGGAAACAGCUGGUGUGUGUAGCAGAAGCAGGUCAGUACAGUAGAGGUUAAAUAGCCUGCAGGCGCUCUCUGAGUCUCACUGCCCUUUAGUGAGGUUUGGGCAGGUGCCUUUCCAAACUGGGCAUGAUCCAGGACCCGAGGACACGGCCAAGCAAGGAAUUACCACAGAGAACACACUCUGCACAAGACUGCUGCUAUGAGCUGAUACUGGACCUGUGUGUGUGACUGACAAUUCACGCUUGGUUAUUCCUGAAGUCACUUUUCUCUCAUAUUGUUCCAAACAUUUUGCAUUUCUUUCUUUUGGUGAACACAAAGAAAUAUAUAUUGUCUC
ensembl:lncRNA